GCCAAAAUGUUUGGGCUUGAAGCCCAAACAAGACCAAGCUCCCAACGGUAAAAAAAAACGAGUCCAAGUCCAAACGUGUUCAUGUCAAAAGCUCAGCAAUACAGCUGAAAAACUUCAUCAUGUCCAAACUUCACUUCUUCUCCCUCAAGAACAAAACCGAGACGAAGAAAAUGAUGAAGAAACAAUGCUCUGAAAUCAACUUCAAUCACCGAAAUUUGAAUCAACAUUCACCAUUCACAUUUAAUUCAACUCUGUGCGCACGGAAUCAGAAAGAAACAAAAACGAAUUUGAAGCAAGAACUCACUGAAUCGAUGUUUCGACACGAACAUGUAAAUAAAUUGCUUAGAAUAUGAUCAUAAGCCAUGCUUGGAAAUGUGAAAUUGGAAUGCUUGGAAAUUAAAUUGGAAUAUUUGGAAAUUAAAUUGUGUAUUAGUUGAAUUUGUAAUUUUUGUAAUUGAAAUUGUAUUGGCUUGAACAUUGUAAUUUGUAAUCAAAGGUUGAAUGUUGCAAUGAAAUAAUGGAUGGUUGAAUAUGGAUUA